GCAGACCGCAGUUUCCCUCCUUGGCGCCUGGCCCGGAGUCGCGAGCGGAGGUGCUGGGCUGCUGGCAGAGCUGCGGGCUGGUUGGACGACGACGAGUUCCUCUGGUUCCCAAUCAAUGAGGUUCAGAACUUCAAAGCGGUUCCUGAUGUUCUCCUUGAAAAUGUUCGCCCAGAGGACACCCAAUCAGAGGAGGAGGAAGAGGAGGAGACAAACUUAUGAAGAUUAGGUCCAUCCAUGGCUAUUAGCUUUGAUGGCUAUAGGCUACCAGCUUCAGCUUCAGAGGCGGGAUGCCUCCAAAUAUCAGUUGCAGGGGAGCAAUGGCAAGAGAGGGGACAUGCCUUCAUCUCCUGGUUAUGGGCUUGCCAGAGGCAUCUAGGGGGCUGUUGUGGAAAACAGGAUGCUGAACUAGAUGGCCCUUGGGCCUGAUCCAGCAGGGCUCUUGUUAUGUUCUUAGGAGGAGUCCACCCCAACUUGAAUCCUCAGUCCCAAUGACAGUCCUCCAGGUAACAGUCCUCAGUCCUUCAGAGCCAGAACAGCAACAUACAGUCACCCCCUCAGAAGAACCCUGGAGCUAUUGGGACCCAGUAUCCCCCACCCCCAGAAAGACUCAUGUAUCAUCCCUUAUAACUCCCUCCAUUGCCCCCAGGAGUAGAGGCAACACUAUGCCAGGGCCGAACUUCAGCUCUGAAGAUGGAGAGUUCAUCUGUAGGGAUAUGCAAACUGGCGCAACCUCAAGCCCGUUCACCACUGAACUGGUCUAGUUCGACCUCAAGCUGAACCCCCCCAGCUGGCUCGGGUCCGGUUCUGAGGUUCUAACAUCAAUUUUUAAAAAUAAUGCACUGUCACCACCUCUGGGGUGCGCUGCUGCAGCUGCAAAAAAUCUACGGCAGUUCCCCCUCUUCCUGCCGGCCACCUCCAUCUCAAAAUGGCCUGAUUUGGGGCAAUUCUGGACCAUUUUCAGACCUUUCUGGGCAGUGCUCACUAGGUCCACAAGCCAGGACUGGGAGAACCAGAGACACCCUAGAAAUCAAGUGGGGUAGAUAAUCAGGAGCCAGAGGUCAGGAGCACACAGAGGGCCAAAGCCAAGUAGUCACCAGUAGCCAACGAGUCAGUGUAGUGAUUGGCUAGUAAACGCUGUCGAUCAAGAGGAAUUUAAAAUUGGGAACCUCCUUUGGAGAGAAUUCCUAAGGGUGAGACUUUGGAAUGGAGUGAACAGGUGUCUAUAAAAUUCAGUUGGAGUUAACUGACAGGUUCAGAUAGGGUUGGAUGAGCCAGAGAUAGGGAUGAUUAGGGCAAGAGAGAGGAUUUCUGGUUAGGAUCUCUAGAGAAGGACUGAGGGUGGAAUUGGGAGGUUGGUGGGUAGGUUUUACACACCAGGCAUGACCUCUGUAGAGCAAACGUGACUAUCAAAUUUAAAUGCUGAGUGUGUAUGGUUGAUUACACAGGAUAUAUAGCCAGGAGGGUUCUAUCCCAGUAAAAGUGCUGAAAGUCUCAAGCAGCUUGUUAUUUCUAAACAGUCACCUCAGUAACGAAAGUAAAGCCUUUGUUGAUGUACUGACACAAUUGUAUAUAAGUACCAGAGUUUGAAUACAUUAAGAAGUGGUGUACAAUCUUGCCAGUUCUAAGGUUGUUAUUUUGUCUUAGAAACUGUUAUGUGUUUGACCCUACAUUGUAGUAAAUAAGAAACCACUGAAGCUAUUGUACAAUAAUAAAGUUAAACAAACAAACAAACAAAAUUUCCUUUGGUUUGGAAGUUUAAAA